GACGAACGCUGGCGGCGUGCUUAACACAUGCAAGUCGAACGAUGAAGGAGAGAGCUUGCUCUUUUUGGAUUAGUGGCGAACGGGUGAGUAACACGUGAGUAAUCUGCCCCGGACUCUGGGAUAAGCGUUGGAAACGACGUCUAAUACCGGAUAUGAAGCGUGGAGGCAUCUUCUGCGUUUGGAAAGAUUUUUGGGUUGGGAUGAGCUCGCGGCCUAUCAGCUUGUUGGUGAGGUAAUGGCUUACCAAGGCGACGACGGGUAGCCGGCCUGAGAGGGUGACCGGCCACACUGGGACUGAGACACGGCCCAGACUCCUACGGGAGGCAGCAGUGGGGAAUAUUGCACAAUGGGCGAAAGCCUGAUGCAGCGACGCCGCGUGAGGGAUGACGGCCUUCGGGUUGUAAACCUCUUUCAGCAGGGAAGAAGCGAAAGUGACGGUACCUGCAGAAGAAGCACCGGCUAACUACGUGCCAGCAGCCGCAGUAAAAC
rnacentral:rRNA from 1 species